rnacentral:tRNA from 1 species
AGCCGAUAAGGGCUCGCUUUCAAACUUGCAUUUUGACGUGAAAACACUGCAGGGCUCAUAGUAAA